rnacentral:rRNA from 1 species
AGUGAACGCUGGCGGUAGGCCUAACACAUGCAAGUCGAACGGCAGCACAGUAAGAGCUUGCUCUUACGGGUGGCGAGUGGCGGACGGGUGAGGAAUACAUCGGAAUCUACUUUUUCGUGGGGGAUAACGUAGGGAAACUUACGCUAAUACCGCAUACGACCUACGGGUGAAAGCAGGGGAUCUUCGGACCUUGCGCGAUUGAAUGAGCCGAUGUCGGAUUAGCUAGUUGGCGGGGUAAAGGCCCACCAAGGCGACGAUCCGUAGCUGGUCUGAGAGGAUGAUCAGCCACACUGGAACUGAGUCACGGUCCAGACUCCUACGGGAGGCAGCAGUGGGUAAUAUUGGACAAUGGGCGCAAGCCUGAUCCAGCCAUACCGCGUGGGUGAAGAAGGCCUUCGGGUUGUAAAGCCCUUUUGUUGGGAAAGAAAAGCAGCAGGUUAAUACCCCGCUGUUCUGACGGUACCCAAAGAAUAAGCACCGGCUAACUUCGUG